CUUAAAGUAGUUUAAUUUUAAAAAUACAAGUUUUGGAGAUUUGGGAUUAUUUUUUUAAAAAUAUUUUUUGA
rnacentral:tRNA from 1 species